rnacentral:rRNA from 1 species
CGGGGAAACUCACCAGGUCCAGACACAACGAGGAUUGACAGAUUGAGAGCUCUUUCUUGAUUUUGUGGGUGGUGGUGCAUGGCCGUUCUUAGUUGGUGGAGUGAUUUGUCUGCUUAAUUGCGAUAACGAACGAGACCUUAACCUGCUAACUAGUCCGUGUUACCUCGGUAGCACGCUGACUUCUUAGAGGGACUAUCGGCUCAAGCCGAUGGAAGUUUGAGGCAAUAACAGGUCUGUGAUGCCCUUAGAUGUUCUGGGCCGCACGCGCGUUACACUGACGGGGCCAGCGAGUCCUUCCUUGGCCGAAAGGUCCGGGUAAUCUUGUGAAACCCCGUCGUGCUGGGGAUAGAGCAU